CCUUGCAGUUUGAUCUCAGACUGCUGUGCUAGCAAUCAGCGAGACUCCGUGGGCGUAGGACCCUCCGAGCCAGGUGCGGGAUGUAAUCUCGUGGUGGGCCGUUUUUUAAGCCCGUCGGAAAAGCGCAGUAUUCGGGUGGGAGUGACCCGAUUUUCCAGGUGCCGUCCGUCACCCCUUUCUUUGACUAGGAAAGGGAACUCCCUGACCCCUUGCGCUUCCCUAGUGAGGCAAUGCCUCGCCCUGCUUCGGCUUGCGCACGGUGCGCGCACCCACUGACCUGCGCCCACUGUCUGGCACUCCCUAGUGAGAUGAACCCGGUACCUCAGAUGGAAAUGCAGAAAUCACCUGUCUUCUGCGACGCUCACACUGGGAGCUGUAGACCGGAGCUGUUCCUAUUCGGCCAUCUUGGCUCCUCCCCAGGAAAAAAUUUCUUAAAGUUGUUUUCUCCACUUUUCUGAUGCUGAUCAAAUUUGAAUUCCCACAUCAUAUUUAUGUAUCUCAAGUAUAUUUGACAAACAGAUGCUGUACUGUAUCUCAGGCCUCUUGCCCAACAAAAUGGUGAACAAGACUCCACCUACUUCAAGGAUUGGGAGAAUAGAGAGUGGAAUGGGAACAACUGGUGUCUAUCAAUGAGAAGAAAGUGCCAACUGAAAACUUUUAGAAAAUACCCAGUUUACUCAAGGAAAAUAACAUGCAUUGAAGGUGAUUGCUCAAUAGAGAGAAGUUGAAACAGCAGACUAAUUGCCUGUUUGUGACACCCAUGUAAUCAACUUGUGUAAAUAGACAGCAUAUCUCUAGACCUGUGGUUAUCAAAAGAGCGUGUGUUAGAAUCACCGGACAGACUUAUGAACAAACGAAAUGCUGGGCCCCAUCUCCAGUGUUCUGACUCUGUAGGUCUGGAGUGGGGCUGAAGAUUUGCCUUUCCAACGAGUUCCAAGUGAUGCUGAGGCUGCUUCUCUGGGGACUAUAUUUUGAGAACUACUGAACUACCAUUCUAGGAGGGUGGGAAAAUGGGUUUUCAUCUUGGAGCACAAAUUAUUUGCAUGAAUUUAAGCAAGUCAUGAAUAUUCU
rnacentral:lncRNA from 1 species